UACGGAAGAUGCGAGCGUUAUCCGGAUUUAUUGGGUUUAAAGGGAGCGUAGGCGGAUGAUUAAGUCUGCGGUAAAAUGUCAGUGCUCAACGCUGGCCUGCCGUGGAAACUGGUUGUCUUGAAUGUGCACAAGGAAGGUGGAAUUCGUGGUGUAGCGGUGAAAUGCUUAGAUAUCACGAAGAACUCCGAUUGCGAAGGCAUCCUUCUGGGGCAUGAUUGACGCUGAGGCUCGAAAGCGCGGGUAUC
rnacentral:rRNA from 1 species